AAAUUAAAUCUAAUGGCAAUAUAGUUGAACCUGUGAAUUAUGCUAUAUAUUCAUGAUCUUUGGUUACAUCUUCUGACAUUUGACUCAGACUUCUCUUGAACUGAAUAUUAAUGUGCGUAUUGUUAUGCGUUUACUUUUCUGCAUUGGCUACAGUUUCUUGUGUACAAUUUGGUGUUUAGUUUGGCUGUUCAUUAUCACUGAACUAGUAUAUAUAUAUUUUUUUAGGGGCCAGCUGAAGGACGCCUCAGGGUGCGGGAAUUUCUCGCUGCAUUGGAGACCUGUUGGUGACCUUCUGCUGUUGUCUUUUCUAUGGUCGGGUUGUUGUCUCUUUGGCACAUUCCCUAUUUCCAUUCUCAAUUUUAUGAUCAAUGAACUAUGACUAACAGUGCCAAAAAAUCUUGUCAAAAUGAGAAAGAAAUCAAUGACUGAUCAUAAUUUAGUCCCCUUAAACUGACCUAAACACAAAUUU
rnacentral:lncRNA from 1 species